rnacentral:rRNA from 1 species
GACGUAGGGGGCCAGCGUUGCUCGGAAUUACUGGGCGUAAAGGGUUCGUAGGCGGUGUGGCAAGUCGGGAGUGAAAUCUCUGGGCUUAACUCAGAGGCUGCUUCCGAAACUGCCGUGCUAGAGUGCGGGAGAGGCGAGUGGAAUUGCAGGUGUAGCGGUGAAAUGCGUAGAUAUUCGCAAGAACACCAGUGGCGAAGGCGGCUCACUGGCCCGAUACUGACGCUGAGGCACGAAAGCGUGGGGAGCAAACAGG